GACGCCCGGCGGCCCCGCCCCACGGCGGCACGCCCGCUCUACGUUCCUCCUUGACGCUGCCGCCUCUUCCUCCAGGCCGGCCUCGCUCUCACCGCCCGCACUCCAACGCAAACAAACGGGUUAAUUGAUGGAAGCUUGUGCUAUAAAUGAUGCCAUGAGAAAACAGAACUGAGUGCAAUCAUCACAAUGCUGAUACUUUGCUUCAAAUCCUAGAAUUACCUUGUGCAGCACUCAUGUAAUUCUUAACAAGUAUGUUCAGCAUCAAGGAAAUCCAGGGUUACAGCUUCUUGAAAAUUGAUGAUCUGAAAGAAUAACCCCAAAGUAGUAAGUAAUGGGU